ensembl:rRNA 5S_rRNA 5S ribosomal RNA
CCCACCAGCCAUAUCACCCUGCAACUCACAACUGGUAACCCACUGAAUCUAAGCAGGUGUGAGCCUAGUCAGUACCUGGAUGGGAGACCUCCUGGGAAAAACUGAGGUUGCUGCUGGAA